UACGGGGGGGGCAAGCGUUGUUCGGAAUUACUGGGCGUAAAGGGCUUGUAGGCGGCCAACUAAGUCCGACGUGAAAUCCCCAGGCUUAACCUGGGAACUGCGUCGGAUACUGGAUGGCUUGAAUUCGGGAGAGGGAUGCAGAAUUCCAGGUGUAGCGGUGAAAUGCGUAGAUAUCUGGAGGAACACCGGUGGCGAAGGCGGCAUCCUGGACCAACACUGACGCUGAGUGAGCGAAAGCCAGGGGAGCAAACGGG
rnacentral:rRNA from 1 species